ensembl:lincRNA Gm44244 predicted gene, 44244
UUUAGCAACCAUGGAAACAGCAAGGUUGUAGUAGUCCAUGCACAUGGAGGCCUGCUACAGCACCCCAACACACGCAUUCAAAUCUAAAAUUCCCAUUGCUUUUAUCAGCUCCAGGAGACCUAACACAUCCUUUAAGCCUCCUUUGGAACCAACACACAGAUCAAGAUGCAGAACUCUCAGCUACCUCUCUAGUACCAUACCUGCCUGCAUAACAGCAUGCUUCCCACCAUGAAGAUAACGGACUCAAUCUCUGAAAGUGUCAACCAGCCCUAAUUAAAUGUUUUGCUUCAUAAGACUUUCUUUGGUCAUGUUGCCUCUUCCCAGCAAUAGAAAUCACAAUGAAGACACAUACAGAAGAUAUCUUCAAUUAAUGCUGUCAUGACUCCCACAAAAAUCUUAGUCUCCAUUUUGCAAAUCACUUUGACAUCUGCAACAGAUCUGCAACCCCAGACAGAUGCUGGUAGAUUGUCGAAAUGUCAAGCUUGUAGUCCCCUUUGCAUUGGUAAGUCAAGAGCUGAUAUUUUUCUAAGGGGAGUUAACGAAACUGUGAGUACAUGUUAUACAACCUUUAUAUGGACUUUCUGUUACUUUCUACCAUAAUCAGAAAAUAGAAAAUUAACUCAUCUUUAUGUGGAGGAUGGGAAAUAUAAUACAUUUACAAAGGUAUGAGUGAUGGAGAAAACAAUACAUGUAGUUUGUGACAAACUUCAGUAUAAGAAUCAAGAUGGAGGGCAUUAGGAUUCUAAGGAACGUGUUACCUGCAACUACCAAGCACUGCAAAUGAUGGAGUUACA